rnacentral:tRNA from 1 species
GGGGGUUUAGCUCAGUGGUAGAGCAUUUGCAUAGCAUGCAUAAAGCCUUGGGUUUGAUCCCCCA